rnacentral:rRNA from 1 species
AAGCGCCGGCUAACUACGUGCCAGCAGCCGCGGUAAUACGUAGGGCGCAAGCGUUAUCCGGAAUUAUUGGGCGUAAAGAGCUCGUAGGCGGUCUGUCGCGUCUGCUGUGAAAACCCGAGGCUCAACCUCGGGCCUGCAGUGGGUACGGGCAGACUAGAGUGCGGUAGGGGAGAUUGGAAUUCCUGGUGUAGCGGUGGAAUGCGCAGAUAUCAGGAGGAACACCGAUGGCGAAGGCAGAUCUCUGGGCCGUUACUGACGCUGAGGAGCGAAAGGGUGGGGAGCAAACAGGCUUAGAUACCCUGGUAGUCCACCCCGUAAACGUUGGGAACUAGUUGUGGGGUCCAUUCCACGGAUUCCGUGACGCAGCUAACGCAUUAAGUUCCCCGCCUGGGGAGUACGGCCGCAAGGCUAAAACUCAAAGGAAUUGACGGGGACCCGCACAAGCGGCGGAGCAUGCGGAUUAAUUCGAUGCAACGCGAAGAACCUUACCAAGGCUUGACAUACACCAGAACGGGCCAGAAAUGGUCAACUCUUUGGACACUGGUGAACAGGUGGUGCAUGGUUGUCGUCAGCUCGUGUCGUGAGAUGUUGGGUUAAGUCCCGCAACGAGCGCAACCCUCGUUCUAUGUUGCCAGCACGUAAUGGUGGGAACUCAUGGGAUACUGCCGGGGUCAACUCGGAGGAAGGUGGGGAUGACGUCAAAUCAUCAUGCCCCUUAUGUCUUGGGCUUCACGCAUGCUACAAUGGCCGGUACAAAGGGCUGCAAUACCGCGAGGUGGAGCGAAUCCCAAAAAGCCGGUCCCAGUUCGGAUUGAGGUCUGCAACUCGACCUCAUGAAGUCGGAGUCGCUAGUAAUCGCAGA